rnacentral:rRNA from 1 species
GACGAACGCUGGCGGCGUGCUUAAUACGUGCAAGUCGAACGGAAAGGCCCUGCUUUUGCGGGGUGCUCGAGUGGCGAACGGGUGAGUAACACGUGGGUAACCUGCCCUUGACUUUGGGAUAACUCUAGGAAACUGGGGCUAUUACAGGAUAGGAGCUCUUGCUGCAUGGUGGGGGUUGGAAAGUUUCGGCGGUUGGGGAUGGACUCGCGGGUUAUCAGCUUGUUGGUGGGGUAGUGGCUUACCAAGGUUUUGACGGGUAGCCGGCCUGGGAGGGUGACCAGCCACAUUGGGACUGAGAUACGGCCCAGACGCCUACGGGAGGCAGCAGUGGAGAGUAUUGCACAAUGGGCGGGAGCCUGAUGCAGCGACGCCGCGUGCGGGAUGACGGCCUUCGGGUUGUAAACCGCUUUCGCCUGUGACGAAGCGUGAGUGACGGUAAUGGGUAAAGAAGCACCGGCUAACUACGUG